CGCGGCCUAUCAGCUUGUUGGUGGGGUAGUGGCUUACCAAGGCUUUGACGGGUAGCCGGCCUGAGAGGGUGACCGGCCACAUUGGGACUGAGAUACGGCCCAGACUCCUACGGGAGGCAGCAGUGGGGAAUAUUGCACAAUGGGCGGAAGCCUGAUGCAGCAACGCCGCGUGCGGGAUGACGGCCUUCGGGUUGUAAACCGCUUUCGCCUGUGACGAAGCGUGAGUGACGGUAAUGGGUAAAGAAGCACCGGCUAACUACGUGCCAGCAGCCGCGGUGAUACGUAGGGUGCGAGCGUUGUCCGGAUUUAUUGGGCGUAAAGGGCUCGUAGGUGGUUGAUCGCGUCGGAAGUGUAAUCUUGGGGCUUAACCCUGAGCGUGCUUUCGAUACGGGUUGACUUGAGGAAGGUAGGGGAGAAUGGAAUUCCUGGUGGAACGGUGGAAUGCGCAGAUAUCAGGAGGAACACCAGUGGCGAAGGCGGUUCUCUGGGCCUUUCCUGACGCUGAGGAGCGAAAGCGUGGGGAGCGAACAGGCUUAGAUACCCUGGUAGUCCACGCUGUAAACGGUGGGUACUAGGUGUGGGGUCCAUUCCACGGGUUCCGUGCCGUAGCUAACGCUUUAAGUACCCCGCCUGGGGAGUACGG
rnacentral:rRNA from 1 species